CACGAUCAAUUGGCGCAGCUUCAUGCCGCUGAGCUCGUUUUUCAUCAGAAAUUUUAUUGCGAAAAAAUUGAACUUGUAUCUUAACGAUCUUCAUGGUCGGCCCAUUCCUGGAAGACACCGUCUUCCACGGUCUUAUUCAUUGAAUUGCAGGUUGCAGCAGGGCCCCUUCCCAGGUAAACGUUUUUCUGCAAUCCUACGUACAAGCGCGUCUCGAUGUGAUGCUUGGCGCCGGCAUCCCUCCUCUUGCAGUGCGGUGCGGUGGCCGUACAGCUCGGAGAAUACUGUUCGAACACUCUUUACUCGUCACCGUCAGUUUCUGGCACGAGCUAAACGCGAGAGCGCGAACAAGUGCAUUUUCCAGAUCGUAACUCCUAACACGUAUGUGACGUUACGCCAAAAAGCGAGAUAGUCAAAGAGAAGGGAAGAGAGAGAGAGAGAGAGAGAGAGAGAGAGAGAGAGAGAGAGAGAGAGAAAGAGAGCGUGUUCGAGCUCACGAUCCUUUAAAGUCGGCCGGAUAUCCGAGUUUCAUUUCCAUAUCCGGACAGUGAGGAAAACUAAAACAGCGGAAGCAGGCAGUGAUAUGAAGAAUACGAAAAUCGACGAAUAUGUCGGGCCUCAACCGCGAGCAUAUGCAACGUGGAAAUUCGGUAAGCCGCAACAAAUGACGAUCCGUCCUGGCGUUUCCGCGCUCGAAAACAAUCGGCUGCAAAUCCGUUAAAAAUUCUCCUCUCAACAUUCGAUCCAUUUGUUCCGCGGCGCGCGUGAGGGGUAACAAUGUUGUCGGAGUACAUCGCAGUGCCGAAUAAAAGAGGUGCAUGAAAGGCAAGACUGACCUUUUCGAGGCAUCGCAGAAGAAUGCCGAUGUAAAUUGGAGCGCCCGAGAGCCGAAGGUUGUCUUCUCGAUGUCUCGAGCGGGCGUGAACGUUAAACGAGUUUCCAAUGGUAAAGACGACCAUGUCGAUGGUGACGCAAAUGUCGACGCCGUGCAGACCGCAAUCGACAAUCUCGGCAGAUGGCAAGUCACCGUCUGCCUGGCGAUUUCCCUGGUCAAAUUUCCGGUAGCCUGGCAUCAAUUGGCGAUUGUCUUCAUGGCGCCGCACCAGGAUUAUAAUUGCACGGAGCCUGCCACCACGGACUCCAAAGACCAAUGCACGGUCAACGUUAACGGCACAUUAGUCGAGUGCACGGAGUGGAAAUACGACCGAAGUGUCUUUUCCGAGACCAUUAUAUCGCAGUGGAAUUUAGUCUGCGAUCGGACGCACUACGCGAACAUACAACAGUCUAUUCUUAUGUUCGGCGUGCUGCUCGGUAACAUAAUCUUCGGCAGUUUAGCGGAUAGGUACGGCAGGAAAGUACCGCUGAUGGUUUCCGUGGUUCUCAAACUGGUAUCGGGGAUUGGAUGCGCCGUAGUGCCUUGGUUUCAAGCAUUGUUGCUGAUGAAACUAUUGAGCGCCAUGGCUACUGGAGGCACAAUGGUGACUAGUUACGUUAUUUGCAUGGAAAUAGUGGGUACGAAAUGGCGAGCCGCCAUCACUGUUCUGUACCAAUUUCCUUUUGCCUUAGGACAUCUGUCGUUGGCGGGAUUGGCGUUCUGGUUUCGACAUUGGCAACAAUUGCAGAUCGCCAUCACCCUUCCGUCCAUUAUUCUUUUAAGUUAUUGGUGGUUAGCACCUGAAUCGCCUAGGUGGUUAUUAGCUAUGGGAAGGCAGAAAGCGGCCUGCAAGAUCUUGCAGAAGGCAGCCAGUAUCAAUAAAAUGGAAAACGUGGACAUUCCCGAAGUGAUAAGGAAACAUUGCUUGCAGCAGAAUUUUAAGAAAUCCAUAUUGGAUCAUAGAGCCUCGUUUGUGGAUCUUUUUCGUACGCCAAACAUGCGAAUAAAAUCCCUGUCGAUUUUCUUCAACUGGACCGUUUGUGGAAUGGGCUUGUUUGGCAUGUCACAGUAUAUCGGCCAGGUCGGCGGCGAUAUUUUCAUUAAUUUCGCAGUAUCCGGUGCUAUACAGAUUCCUGGAAACUUCGUCGCAUGGUGGGCAAUGAACAAAUUAGGUCGACGAGUCACUCUGAUUUGCAGCAACUCUACAGCCGGCGUGGCCUGUCUGUUCUUGAUCAUCGUAUCAAACGAUAUCGCCUGGUUAAGAUUGCUGUUGGCAUGCUGCGGUAUCGUCGGUAUAGCGGUAUCGUUCACGACAGUCUACCUUUUCUCCGGAGAACUGUUCCCCACAGUCGUGAGGAACAUCGGAGUCGGCACGAGCAGCAUGUGCGCCAGACUAGGUUCCAUCGUGGCGCCGUUCGUGGUGUCUUUGGCUGAAGUCGGGCCCGUCGUGUGAUGUCGCGUGAACAGGUUGCUUAUCACUAUUGAUUGUUUCUCGCUAAGAAUCGAAGGAACGUCUCAUCGCCACUGGAGGAUCGGCGAUUCUCUUUUCUAGGUUGCAUUUCAAAACAUCUUUUUUGAGGAAAAUUUUACUCUUAAAUCUAUAGUUUAUAUUACAUAUACUAUGGACUUAAGAGUAAAAUUUUCUUCGGAAAGGACGUUUUGGAAUGCAAACCUAGAUUGUUAAUUUCAGACAUAAUUUCAGAGCGGCAUCAAAGCGUGGCUACCGCCGACCGUGUUCGGCGUCUUGCCGUUAAUUGGCGCCGCGCUGUGUCUGUUAUUGCCCGAAACUGCAGGAUGCACACUGCCAGAGACGCUUCAGGACGGAGAGGAGUUCGGAAAGAAGUGUAAGGCGAAAGGGAC